GACCUUCAGUUGUUUUGCUAACUCUAACCCCAGGUGACCGACCAAGACGAGCAUCGUAGUAUUAUGGGACUGUCGUGUUUACCUCUUCAUAUUUUGUUUCUUGUUGGACUGAACUUAACUUUCGCCGGAGAUGCACCACCUGUCAAGAUACAAUUAUUCUACGAGACUUACUGUAAGUACUGCCAAGAAUUCGUCUCUAACCAGCUAUACCCAACAUGGCAUGAUCUUCAGGACAUCAUGGACGUGGAAAUGUUCCCUUUUGGAAAUGCAAAGUACGCUCCAAAUGUAGAAACCGAAGGUUGGACGUUCAAGUGUCAGCAUGAGGAAUACGAGUGUAAGGCUAAUAUGAUCCACGCAUGCGCCAAAGAAAACUUUAAGGAUAUUGGGCUGGAAAUGAAUUUCGUCAAGUGUCUUCUGGAAUCGCCUGCUCCAGCGGAUUCUGGA